rnacentral:lncRNA from 1 species
GGGUUUUGAGGAUGUUGGAGAAGUUGUUGCUGGACAUAUCAAAGGCCCUUUUGAGAGUGGACAUGAGAUGGGGAGGGAGGCCAUUGGUGGUAUGGUAGUGAGGUGGGAGUUCAGGCAAGUCAUCAUGUGGAAGAUGGAGUUCCACAAAUUCAAUGCAAUGAGAAUAUUUUUGGGAGAGUUUAGGCUUGAUGGAGCUGAGAUUUACAGGCGUGGAACAAAUAAAGAUGUGAAAAUUUCUCUUGGUGGUCAGCUUCUUGGCUAGCUCUAGGUAGGGAGAUAUAUGGCCGUGAGCUAGCCAUGGAAGCAUAAGAAUAGUAAGUUUUCUUUGGUCAGAGUAAACCAUAUUUUGUUUUCCUUUCACUCUUUUGCUUGAGGUUGCUCGAUUAUAGGCUUAUUGGUAGUUUUUUUGUAGCUAGCUCUAUGCAUAUAUAUAUAUAUAUACACACACAUUCAUGGGAAAAGAGGCUUGGGGAUGGGAAAUCAAUUGAUUUCCUAUGUUUGGUAAAGUUCGGGUAUGAGAAAUCGUUGCUUUGCACAUGAGAAAGUAGAGGGGAAAGUGAAGCCCUCCUCCUUCCUUAGGUUUUGUUUUCCUCCUCAUGGGAAAGUUUGGGAAAAUGAGCUAAUAUUAAAUACAUAUUUUUCAUGACCAUAUUAUCCCCAUUAAUAAUUUAGAAUUACAUAAAUGCAUUCUAUUUUUAUUUGAUUUCAUAUGGGUAUAAUUGAAAAAUUAAACAAAUUUUGUUUUACAUUCCUACACAAACCAAACAUGUGAAAGGAAAUAAAGUGGUAUUUCUUGGUUACUUUCCCAAGAUUACCAAACAUAGGAAAGGAAUCUCUAUUUCCCAUCCCUUAGAAAAUGACUUGGAAAGUAAUUUCUCCUCAAAUUCGUUCCGUGAACCAAACGGAACCUGCAUAAUAGAAGUUCCAAAAAAACACGUGAUGAUUGGAUCAUGCAUAUGUAAGUUCCCGAGUGAUGAUUGGAACAAGUUCCUAAUGAUAAAGACUCGAAACAAGAAUAGUUUAAACUUUCUUCUUUGUUUGGCUUGAUAUAAGACGAAUGCACCAAACAAACCGACUAAUUGCUGGCACAAUAUAAAUUGGGGCUACAAUUACCUAAUAAUUAGGUACUAAGGGCUACAAUUACCUAAUAAUAUCAACUUUCAUUAUACAGAUUUGAGAAACAAAAAGUUCAACUUUGAUGACAAGCGAUAUUAAAGGAGGGCGUAAUCAAACUUAGGAUCUUGAGUGUAGAAAUAAAUACUUUUAACAACUUGAGCUACAAGCCUUUUGUAAUAUUAAUGAUAUUUUAAUUAUACGUUUGAAUAGUUCGCUUCCUUCUCUUUUAUUUUCAUUUGUUUAUAUUUAACUCUAAUUUUAUUUAUAUUUUUGGUCAAGGUAAAAAGACUUUGAAUCUCUCUCCAAUGAUUUUCACAGCCGAAACUCCUUUAGUUUCCACAAAUAUUUUUUAAUAUUUCAUGCAUUUGUAAGUUUCCGACUCGGAUGGUUCAUGUAACCAAGAAGUUUAAACUUGUUUUUGCUUGUUCCGCCGACGAAAGCGCAACAAAAGGACAAACUACAACCAAUACUUCUAGUAUCACCAGUUCUCAUUGAAUUUGUUGCCGUGAAUGUUUAGGAUUCUGCCCAAACUAGUAUUUGCGUUUCUGAAUUGUUUGAAAACACAUAUGAAAUUAUGAUUUCUCCUCCCCAGAAGACAAAUUGACGAAGAAGUAUCAUGAUUUUGAUGACACAAAUUAGAAUCCAGGGUUUUCGAAGUGCCUAAUGGACAACUAUUAAUUUAGAAAUAUAUAUAUUUUUUUCGCAAUGCAGAAACACAUAAAUCCCAAGUUUGAAUUCAUCCUAUUUUUGUUUUUGUUUUUUCCUUUUUUAACCCAGAAGAAAAAUUGAGUGCCACUCUGCUAUGUAGAAUGCAAGUUUUAGUUUAGAUUUUUUUUUCUUUUUAGUCUCUUAUUCUACAUUUAGAUCUCAUAUAUUUACUCGCAUUUUAUUAAAUCUAAGUCAUUCAAACAAUCUGACCACUUAACAAAUUACAAGUACUCAAACUUAAAAUCAGAUUGGAUGGACAUGAGGCUUACACUGAUGAUUCUACACGUGCUGAGAAUAGUCCUUUUAUUUCUUUAUUAUUUUCUUGGUCGGGACUCGAGAGACAGGUGUAGUGUAGCGAUGGAGACGAGGCCCGCAAGACAUAAAAGUCUGAAGAAGAGAAGCGUGAAAGCUUCAUUUAGACAGUUAAGUGCAUACGUAACGUAAAGAUUCAAAGACUAUGUCCCUCUCCAAACAGGGAAAGAUCUGAGUUGAAAGCAACAAACUACAGUCACAAUAGGAAAGCAUCUACAACGUAAAGAAAAUAAGUUUACCAGAAGCAUCGGAAAGAUCUAGAGUCUGAAGAAGAGAUACUGAAGUAAUUGUUCAUCGACUGAGCUUAAAUGAAAUAUUAACUCUUUGUUGUGCCAUAAGCACAAGAUCUUAAGAAAAAAAUUCAAGAUAAACCAUAUAAUAUUUUCUAACCCACAAAAUAAUAUAGAAAAUAAAUGCAAGAACAAGAGAAUAGCAAGACACAACGAGGCUGCUUACAAUCAGUGUAAAUGAGCAAACAAAUUCACCAUCAACAAAUUAGCAUGCUUAUGAAGUGUUUUGCAACCUCACAAACCAAGGCGCCAUAUACACCAAAUGACUCUCACUGAAAAACUAAACAAAGAAACACACUCACACUAAUGAAAGCAACGUUACAAGGUAGGAGAUUGAAUAUUACAUUUACAAUACACUCAUAAGUUACAAAAACUAAUUACAAAUAUUUAGCGCAUAGGUUACAUAGAACUGAAAGGGUGGAAUGAUAAGAGCUAUGGUGGUCAUCCACCAACUCAUGCAUUUACAACACCGCCUCUUGAAUGUCCACCAUACAAUACAAUGAUAUAGUUGCGUCAUUAAACACUUUGCUUGAAAAACUAUAUGGGACAAAACUUAGGCUACGGGAAAAAGAGUGCAACACAAAUAAUAUUGAUAUCACAUUUGUCUCUCCUACGGAAUGAGCUUUGGUGAUGUUUGUAUAAAAAUUGCGUACAAACCAUUAUUGGAAGAUUGGGCUAGAGUGGGCUUUACCCUAGUGUUGACUUUGGAAAGAGACAAAUUAGGCUUAGUUGUGUAAAUUCAAUCCAAAAAAAAAUUAAAUAAUAGCCCACAUCUACAGCCAAAUACUUUAAUACUUUAAUUACUAAAGUUUUUUUUUCUUUCUCUCUCUUCUUUGGUUUAUUCAGCUUUUGAUUUGGCUCAAAUAAUGUUUAUAUCUCUCUUUGAUUUUGUUUUUUCAAAUUUAUUGAUGUUGCUUCUUUUGAAAAUUUUGAAAUAUGGACCCUCCCUAACUAAACCACUCCAUUGAGCAAAAGCCCUUGAGCUUCAAAUUUAUCUUCGUCUGAGCCUCUGAAUUUUGGUUUUUUUUAGGUUUUUUUUGUUUGUUGUAGGUUUCUUUGUUCACAUAUCUCUCUAAAAAUAGUAUUUUUCUUAAUGAAUUCUGAAAAUAGUUUUUAAUUUGAAGGAAAUAUACGGAAUUAGUAAAAAAGUAUACCACUUUCAUUAAUCUGAAGGAAAUAUUGCUUUAUAUAUAUUUGUUUAAAAAUAGGGCUUAUAAUUGAUCUCAAAAAAAAAAAAAAAACAAAUAGCCCACCCCUGUAAAUAUUCCUUAGUCCGCCAUUGCAUGGCAUAAUAUUUGGUAUGCUAUGCUAGCAUCUCAUAAGCUCUUCAAGAGACCUGAAUUUUAUGAUAACUUCUUAAAAAAUUUGAAUACAUUUCAACGAUAUUAAACUUGAAUUUGAACUCAUAAUUCAAUCAAAGUACUCAUUGAGGCAAUUUAGAUCAUUUUCAUUUUAAAAAAAUUGGGUGCACACAUUGAGCUUCAUGCUCUUUACCUUCUUAGAGAUUUUAUUUGAGGAAUUUAUAUUGCAUCACAUAUUACAUCUCUUAGGAUUUGUUCUUAUUAUGUAUUCUUUAAGAGAUCUAUUCUUGCAAUAUGCUUCAAACACUUCAUAAUCUUUAUGAAUUUUUCAUGUAGAUUUAAGGUCUCCAUGAAUAUUGAGAUUGAAACAAGGAGUAAAAGAGUUAAAAGUUUAAGAAAUUUUUUCCCUGAUUAUUUUGUAAUUAUAAUGUUGGUGAAAAUCCAAUUUCCUUUCUAGAAUUUGUGAAAUUUGUUAUUUGGCUAAGCUAAAAGUAUAAUUUUGACAAUAAAAAGCAUAUGAAAGUUUCUCUUUGGUUGGCUUCUUGGCUAGCUCUAGGAACGGACAGUGUGGCCAUGAGAUAACCAUGGAAGUAUAAUAAGAAUGCUUGGAUGCUGUGAACAAUCCAUUUUCUGACUCUUUUUCUUGAGGUGGUUGUUUUCUUAUGGCCCAUCAGAGUUUAUGGUCGACAGAUAAGCUUCAAACACAUGCAUUGGUCGUGUCAGUUGCGAUAAACUCUUCCCAACAAUCAACAAUUUCUAAGGUAAUAUCAUCAUUCAAUCAUGUGCUGAAUUUAGAAUUGUUUUCAAAUCAAGGAUUUGUUUUGGAACUCAGAUUUUAAAACAAUUAAAAUUUAAUUGGGAAGACUUUUUGUUUAAAGGAAGUUCGUUUCAAUUCAAAAAAUAAUUUUUCAGUUUUUCAACUCAAAAGUCUUCUCAGUUUUCUUAUUUUUCUUAUUGGCGAGUUUCUUGGUUAACUCUAGGAAGGGAGAUAUGUGGCCAUGAGCUAACCAUGGAAGCAUAAGAACGCUGACCAUGCUUGGAUUUUGAGAAGACUUCCUCUUUUUUUUUUCCCUGACUCUUCUUCUUGAGGCGGUGGUUGGCUUAUGGCCUCAUAAUAGUUUGGUGUUUUUGGAGAUCAUAUGGUGAUGAUCUGAUGGAGAUGAGUCAUAGUUUGUGCUAGUGCAUACGUAAUUCCAAUUUCCUGAUUCAGAUGGGAUAAACUCUUCCAACAAAUUAAGACUCUUAUCAUGCAUACACAUAAGAAGUGGAAAUUUGCUUCUGUCUUAGUUUGGCCUUGAUAUAGGACAGCUCAUAGGAAAGCAUCCAAAACAAUAUUCUUUUUAUUUUUUUUAUUUGAAUACAAGCGAUAUUAGGAGUGUGGGGAUUUGAACACAUGAUUUAGGGUACAGGGUAAUGCUCUUAACUAUAUGAGUUACAAGUCCCUUGCAAACAGUCUGAAAUACUAAAAAUAAAAAAUAGAUGCUCAUCCAUAUGCACUGUCAUGCCCCAACCCUUGGAUUUACAAAACCUUGUGUUAAGACGUGAUUCACACCUUAAUUAUAGAAUUUAAUAAAAACUAUAACUAAAAUGUGAAGAAAACAUUUAAAUAAAUAAAAUAAAUAUUUCACAUAGAAUAUUCAGUGGAAAUGACAACAUGUGAAAUCUUAAAAAUUUUACAUUAUCUUACAAGUUGGCGUGACUUGUGGAUAUUGACUUACUUUCCUUACACACCAAGAAUUCCUAUUAUAAUUGUAAUUGAUUUACUUUAAUUCAUGAUUUCCUACUGUAAAUAGAUUUAAGAAUUUAUUAUUUACUUGCCCAUUCAGGUUUCGUUGUAUUAUAAAUAUGACCUCCUACAAGGAGAAGAACAUACAGAAAAUUCCCACAAACAAAUAUUCUCUCAUAGUUUUCAUAUUUUAGCAUGGUAUCAGAGCGGCAAUCUUGGAAUUGCUGACUCUAGUUUCAAACCCCCGCCGCCGCUAUGGGGGUUGAUGAUUUUUUCAACCAUCAUGGAGGUAGCACCAUCGACUCCUUCUCUCAUUCUCAACUAACCAUCGUUGAGUUGAGUGCCCAGAUGGCUCCGCUCCUACAGAUGCAGACUUUGACCCCAAACCCGAUCCAGAAUCAGGAUCUUCUUUCGACAACCACGACCCCGAUCUCGACUAUGACAACGACGACCCCGACCCCUACUCUGAAGAUGACCCCGACCCCCACUCCGAUGACCCCAACCCCGAAUUUGUCUCUGAUUCAGAACCCGAUCCCGAUUUCGACUCCGACUCCGGCCUCGACUCAGGCUCAGAUUUCGAUCCAAAUUCCUACUCAACUUAUAUCCUAUGCAUCUUCCGCUGCACAGAUUAUGACUUCUAGACUAACGACCCCGACAUAUGGACCAGAUUGCACAUAUUGUGGUGAUCCGAGACACACUUGUGAGACUUGUUUUAAAUCGCAUGGCUACCCCGAUUGGUGGGCUAUUCUUACAGAUCAAGGACAAUGCACCAGUAAUGGUACUGGUUAUGGAUUCCAUACUUCCGAUAAGAUUGAUUCCAGGAGCUGGAUAAUUGAUUCUGGUGCAACUGAUCAUAUGACGUUUGAUCCUGAUGAUUUUCUGAAUACUACACAACCUCGACGAACUUGUAUUGCAAAUGCCAAUGGUGUUACUUAUCCUGUGACAGGGGCUGGCACUGUUGCACUCUCAUCCUCUCUCACACUGUCUAAUACUUUACUUGUUCCAUUUUUAUCCACUAAAUUGUUGUUAGUUAGUCAGCUUACUAAACAAUUGAAGUGUUGUGUACUCAUUUACCUGAGUUUUUGUUUGCUUCAGGAUAUUCACACUAAGGAGAUUCUUGGUCGUGGUACUAAGAGAGGGGGGCUAUAUUAUGUCGAUGACUUCAGUUCCGGCGUGCCUAACAGUGUGACACAUCCCUUUGAUAGCAAACAAAAGCAAAUUUGGUUGUGGCACCUUCGAUUGGGACAUCCGUCUUUCAGUUAUAUGAAGCAUCUUAUACCAGAUUUAUUCUUAGGUUUCAAGGACUCCGACUUCACAUGUGAUACUUGUAUUUUGGCUAACAGUCACCGUGUGCCCUACCUGUUGAGUACGAACAAGUGUACUUGUAAGAUCCCACAUCAACCAACGGAGAGGGGGUGAUGUGCCUUAUAUAUGCACACCUGCAUCCAUCUAGCACGAGGCCUUUUGGGAGCUCACUGGCUUCGGAGUCGUAGGAACUCCGAAGUUAAGCGAGUUGGGGGCUAGAGCAAUCCCAGGAUGGGUGAUCCACUGGGAAGUUGCUCGUGAGCUCCUAGAAACAAAACCGUGAGGGCAGAGAGAGGGGCCCAAAGCGGACAAUAUCGUGCUACGGCGGAGUUGAUCCCGAGAUGUGACAAUUUGGUAUCAGAGCCACUCUGCCGUGUGGUGCGAAUGUGCCGACGAGGACUUCGGGCCCUUAAGGGGGGUGGAUUGUAAGAUCCCACAUCAACCAACGGAGAGGGGGUGAUGUGCCUUAUAUAUGCACACCUGCAUCCAUCUAGCAUGAGACCUUUUGGGAGCUCACUGGCUUCGGAGUUGUAGGAACUCCGACGUUAAGCGAGUUGGGGGCUAGAGCAAUCCCAGGAUGGGUGACCCACUGGGAAGUUGCUCGUGAGUUCCCAGAAACAAAACCGUGAGGGCCAGAGAGGGGGGCCCAAAGCUGAUAAUAUCGUGCUACGGCGGAGCCGAUCCCGGGAUGUGACAAUUGUACUACUCCAUUUACGUUAAUUCACUCUGAUGUCUUGGGACCUUCGCCUAUCACUGCUCCUUCUGGUGUUCGAUGGUUUGUCACAUUCAUCGAUGAUUGUAUACAGAUGACAUGGCUUUAUUUGCUGAAGAAUAAAAACGAAGUGUUUUCCCGUUUUCAGUCCUUCCACAAACAGAUGAAAACUCAGUUUAAUGCUCAAAUCCAGAUUCUUCGCUCAGACAAUGGUGGAGAAUUUGUCAAUCAUGACUUUCAGACUUACUUCCAACAACAUGGAAUUAUCCAUGAGACGACUUGUCCUCAGACACCACAACAAAAUUGUGUUGUUGAACGAAAGAAUUGACAUCUUCUUGAAACCGCCCAAGCACUUCUGAUUGGCGCUCAUGUUCCUCGCUAUCACUGGGAUGAUGCUAUUGUCACCGCAGUUCACCUGAUCAACCGCAUGCCUUCUGGUGUAUUGACCUUUAAAACUCCCUUACAGGUGCUUGCGCAACACAGACCUCUGCUCUCUGUUUUGGUACUCACACCCCGAAUCUUUGGAUGUGUGGCUUUCGUUCAUCUCCACAAAAAUCAACGUAGCAAACUUGAUCCCUGUGCGCUUCGUUGUGUUUUUAUAGGUUAUGCCACUCAUCAGAAAGGCUACCGUUGUUAUCACCCUCCUACCCAACGAACCUAUGUCACUUUGGAUGUGACCUUUCUGGAAUCUGAGUUGUUCUUCCAUGACCCAUCAUCCAAUUCUACGCAUCAGGGGGGGAUACGAAGUGAAGAGCAGAAUUGAAGCAACUUGGGAAAUAAAGAAAUUUUCCUCUGUACAGAAAUGAUUAAUCAUCCUGAGUCUGGAGCACGAGAUUACUCUCUGUCGAAAAGCAACCAAUCGCCCAUUCAUAGCGAUCAAUUGCCUCACCUACCUGAUCCAUGUGAAGAUAUUUUUGAUCCGAGUCUCACACCUACAGACAAUACAGAACAACAAGAUGAAGACUCCCCCUCUAACUCAACAGUACCAACAGACCAAUCUCCUGAGAAUAUCCUUGAGGUAACUACUCCUACUAGAUUUGUGCAUUUAAAUGAUUAAACUAUUGGAUAUCAAUUACCUUUCAGGGAAAAUCGUGGGAAGCCAUCAAACCGUUAUGCACCUGAUAUUGGCAAGACAUCCAAGUAUCCAAUUGCAAAUCAUGUAUCCACUGAGAAGCUGUCUGAACAACUCAAGGCUUUUGUGCAUCAGUUGUCUGCGAUCCAUAUUCCAACCAAGGUCUCUGAAGCAUUAAAAUAUCCUAAGUGGGUCCAAGCUAUAAAAGAGGAGAUGAAAGCUCUUGAGAAAAAUCAGACUUGGACAUUAGAGACUAUACCUCGAGGAAAAAAGACUAUCAGAUGUAGAUGGGUGUUUACUAUAAAACACAAUGUAGAUGGAUCUAUCGAGCAAUACAAGGCAAGACUUGUGGAAAAAGGGUACACACAGACAUAUGGUAUAGACUAUGAAGAAACCUUUGCUCCAGUUGCAAAGUCAAACACCAUCAGAGUCUUAUUGUCCCUUGCAGCUAAUUUGGAUUGGCCACUACACCAGUUUGAUGUAAAGAAUGCUUUUCUACAUGGCGUACUCACGGAGGAGGUGUACAUUUACAUUCCUCCUGGAUAUAAUACUACUUAGACUGGAACAGUUUGCAGGUUACGAAAAGCAUUGUAUGGAUUGAAACAGUCACCACGUGCAUGGUUUGGACAGUUCACCAUGGCAAUGAAGAACAAUGGUUCAAACAGUGCAACUCAGAUCAUACUCUACUCUUGAAACAUCGAAAAGGGAAGGUAACAACAUUAAUAAUCUAUGUUGAUGAUAUGAUUAUUACUGGGAAUGAUAAACAGGAAAUAUCACAGCUACAAGACUAUCUGGCUACGGAGUUUGAGAUGAUGGAUCUAGGUGGACUCAAGUAUUUCUUGGGAAUUGAGGUGGCUCGAUCCCAGCAAGGCAUAUUUCUCUCUCAAAGGAAAUAUGUCUUGGACUUGUUGACAGACACAUGAAUGCUAGAUUGUAAACCUGCGAACACUCAUAUUGUUCAGAAUCAUCAUCUUGGAGAAUAUCAUGAUCAAGUUCCAACUAACAAAGAAAGAUACCAAAGGUUAGUAGGAAGAUUGAUCUAUUUGUCACAUACUUGACCAAACAUUACUUAUGCAAUGAGCGUUGUCAGUCAAUUUAUGCACUCUCCAAGUGAAGACCACACGAAUGCAGUUCUUCGGAUACUUAGAUAUUUGAAGUCUGCACCUGAAAAAGGACUUAUUUUCUGAAAGCAUGGUCAUAUAAAUAUUGAUGGUUAUUCAGAUGUAAUGUAACAGAUAGAAAAUCCACAUCCGGUUACUUAACAUUCAUGGGAGGUAAUUUGGUGACAUGGAGGAGCAAGAAACAGAAUGUAGUAGCUUUAUCCAGUGCAGAAGCCGAGUUCAGAGGCAUGACUAAAGGAAUUUGUGAACUUCUUUGGUUAAGAAAGUUGCUUACUGAACUUGGGUAUAAACCUACAUCCACAAUGAUUCUCUUUUGUGACAACAAGGCUGUUAUAGCCAUUGCACAGAAUCCGGUUCAGCAUGAUCGUACUAAACAUGUUGAGGAGGAUCGACACUUCAUCAAACAGAAGCUUGAGGCUAAAAUGUUUCAGUUUUCUUUUGUGAAAUCCGAGGAUCAAUUGGCGGAUAUUUUGACAAAGGUGAUUUCCAGUAAAACAUUCCACAAUUCACUGGAUCAGUUAGGCAUUGGCGAUAUCUAUGCACCAACGUGAGGGGAAGUGUUGGCGUGACUUGUGGAUAUUGACUUACUUUCCUUACACACCAAGAAUUCCUAUUAUAAUUGUAAUUGAUUUACUUUAAUUCCUGAUUUCCUAUUGUAAAUAGAUUUAGGAAUUUAUUAUUUACUUGCCCAUUCAGGUUUCGUUGUAUUAUAAAUAUGACCUCCUACAAGGAGAAUAACAUACAGAAAAUUCCCACAAACAAAUAUUCUCUUAUAGUUUUCAUAUUUUAGCAAGAACUACUCGAGAGUUUACUAAAAGAGUAGUUCAGUAUUCAUCCACAAGCUAUAUACACAAUACACUCUAUAGAUAUGCCAAAAUCAUCGCAAGCUCUAGAUUUUAGGUUCGAUACCUGCAAAAUCUAUUAGAAGGGUGAGUGAAACCACAGUUUAGUAGGGACAUAAACCUUUUCACGGUAAACUGAUAUAAUUAAAUUAAGUGAAAAAUAAUCACACAGCCAAAUAUCACAUUAUUAAUAACAAUGCAUGAAUGCUCUUCAUUUAACCCGUUAAUUCAUAUAAUUAGACAAGCUUCACGACCCAUACCAUGCUUAUACCACUUAGUCCCGAAUGCCAAUUUAUAUGAAUUAACGCCCAUUUCAAUCAUCCCAUAAUUCCCAUUUUGUUAGUCAUCUUGUCUAACUCCCUGUUGCCAGUCCUGAAUCACCAAAAAAAAAAAACCAUGUGCACUAUGGGAUCCCUGAGUACUAGUACCUGGCAAGAGUUAGACUCAACUACACAAAAGAUCAUUUCUAUUACCCUCUUAUCCACCAUUAUUUUCUCAACUUCAGAAUUCUAGCCAAAUUCCAUGACAUGAUAUAAUUAAAAUUAUGCCUUCACAACAAUGUGCCCAUUUAAAACAUCACUAAUGCACAUAUAAUUAUGCCCACAUUGUUCAAAUAGUUAAGAGUACGUAAAUACCCAAUACAUGGAACGUCAAUCAAACAGUACCACGCAUAAUAUAAUGCUCAAGAAAUUUAAUUAAAUCAAUCUCUGUAAAAGGCCCCUAAGAAACCCCUGCCUUGAUACUAAAGCUUUUGCUAGACCUAUAAGGUGUUUUCCAAUUUUCCACCGCAUUCACAAACUCUGUCUUCUACUUUUUUUCUUACUUCUCUCUACCACUAUUUCUUUCUCGUUUUCUUUGUUUUCACUUGUUGUGCAACUUAAUGUCCUAUAUAUAUACAAGGAACAAGUCGGCAGUAAGUGAUUUCCUAUUGGAUGGUGUAUUCGGUUGUUAUAAACUUACUAGUAAUAGUUAUCAAUGUAGUUGCAGAUGAGGAAGAAUGUUUUUGUGACUCUUCCAAUCCCUCUAAUCCUAUUUCUUAUCUUCUUGGUGAGUUGAUAGCCUCGAUACUUAACAGAUUUUAUACUUUGACACGUAUUAACAAGAACUAUUUUAAAAACAUAUACAUAUAUAUAUAUAUAAUAGAAUAUGUAUAUAUGUAAUACACAUAUUUAUAUAUAAUAAGAAUAAUAUAUAUGUAAUAAGAUAUAAAUAUUUAUUAGAACAGUAUAUAAAAUAAUAUAUAUCAUUCUUAUUAUAACAAUAAUUUUAAUUUUCCCAAAAUAAUAUAUAUUUAAAAAUAUGUGGUUUCACAUGCAUGUCCUUUUUGCUAUAGACACUAUUACAAAAAUCGAAAUAGACAACGGAAAACUACCGUCGUCUGGAAAGUUUUCAAACAGUCGUGAAAUCGACUGUCGUCUCUUUUACAUAAAACAACGACGGCUAUUAACCAACGUCGUUAAUACAUUCCACGUAAAAAACUAUUAUAAACCGACGUGUAAUUACUAUAUAUAUAGCCUAAAAUAAAAUCUUCAACAACCUUAGACGACGGUUUUAUUAAAACUGACACGUCUAAAGAGUGUUACAUGUCAAGAUCAAAACAAGAACCGACGUACAGAUAAUUAUCCACGUCCUAAUUGAAGUAAAAUAGACUUGGAUAACCUAGAAACCGUCGUGGUUAACAUAUACUACGUUAAAUUAACAAAGGCACUUACGUCUAAAAAGUAAAAGACAACACGCGCACAAAGCAACAGACGUUUAAAGCUUAGUACAUGUCAAUAGCCGCUCAAUAACCGCAGUAAAAUGAAUUAACCACGUCCCACAUAUGGCAGAACUGUUGCUUAUGUGAUUAUCCACGUCGCGGAGUAGUAGAACAAAGACGUUGUAACCAUAUUCCACGUCUGUUUCUUGUGAGAAUUGUCGUUUAAAUUAUACAAAGAAGCCCCUUUGACAGAGUUAGACGUUGCUCUUGCUGUAGAACCGACUUCUAACAGGUUUAAAAUGACACAAUAUUACUUAAUACUGCCGUAACAAAUCAUAUCCACGACUGCUGUUGUCAAAGACUGACGUUACAAAAAAUAUUGAAGGUGUUGACAAAAAAGAACCGACAUGGAUUAUGCAUUCAACGUCGUGUGGUCUAAAAAUAAAGGACGUGGUUAAUUUUUUCUCUACGUCAAGUGGAUCCAAUUGCCUGAUGUUGUAAUUCUUUACCAUGUUGGUUUUUAAUACAUGAUGAUGUGGUUGUCCUUUUAAAAGUCGCUUGUUUUACCCUCCUUGACGUGUGUAUGAUAUGAGACGUCAAUUGUUUUAGACUAGCUGACGUGCAGAAAAUCUGUCACGACAAUUAAUGCAACUGAAUUGCCUCUAUUUCCCCCAGACGACGGUAGGUUUUAAGUGUGGAAGUAGUGUUUUACAAAAUCGUAAGUUGGAGUAAUCUACCAUCGUGUUAUUCGAGAAUAUACCACGAUCUUUGUUUUGUACUCGGUCGCUGAUGUUUAUACUACUUAAUAAACUGACAUGUUUUCAGUUUCAGACGGCGGCUUUUGUUUCUUUAUGGUCUUUUGCAUUUUUUUUCCAUGACAUUUUUGAAAGCCUAAUGUUGGUUUUAUUUUAGAAAUCGAUUUUUCCCCUUUUUUUACUGGACCGUCGUACUUUACACAUUUAAUCAAUUUUUUUCAAUUUUUGAUUCAUCGUGCCCAAAGCCUACAUAACGAAAAUGUGAUCAGAAUUAAAAUGAUGUACAAAGGUAUUAAUUAAUGUCAUACAAUUAACUGAAUAACUAAUGUCAUACACUACAACAAUCAAUCAAUCCAUAUAUCUUCACACCCAUCUUUAAUAUUUUCACUCCCAAACUCACCCACUAGGUCAUCAUAUGUGUCAACAUUUGGUAUCCCUCUAGUAAAUGUCUCACACUCAAUUCUAAUAUCACCUAGCACAUCAUCACCAAUAACAUUAUUAUAUUCUCUAUUAUGCAUUGAUAACACUACCGACCAACCACGAUGCAUUGGGUCGUCAGCAUAAAAUACUUGUUUUGGUCAUUCCUAUGUCCAAUUUUACUCAAAUCUACAAAGGUGAAUCCAAGUUCAUCGACAACAAGGCCCAAAGUGUUAUCUAUCCAAUCACACCUCAAGACAAGGAUUCUAAACUUUUGGUAGUCAAGGUCCCAAAUUUCUUGAAUAACACCAUAAAAACCCAUAUUGGAGACAAUAGAGUUUUUAUCCUUAGCACUAGCAACUUGCAUAGUAUGUGCAAGUAAAUAAACUCCACUAUUUUGGACAGUUCGCAUAUCAUCUUGUGCCUUGGUGUUAAAUUUAACACCAUUAAUAAGAUAGCUCCUAUAUGAUGGCAUUGCCAUGCUUGGACUAGCUGCUAGCCACCUCAAAUUUUAUGAUACGCCAUUAUGCUCUUCCCCAUUAAGUUCACUUUGAACUUGCAAAUUAAUCGUAUAUAUCCUAAUUCGAUCUAACAUAUAAAAAGGAAGAAAAUUAAAAGUUGAAUAUGUCAUUCAAUAACAUAUAUACUUGAAAGUGUAGCCAUUGAAUGAAAGUGCUAUUGUGCUUAUCUUGCAGCCACUUUGUUCUCUUUCUAAAUAUUGGAUAAGUGGUCUUGAUGUGGAUCAUAUGUUCCAUACAUUGACACGAAAAAAUCAAGCAUUACGGUCCCUUGUAUAUAAGAUAACAUAAGGAAUAAUAAUAUUUAAAAUGGCUCUAUAUGAAAAAUGGAACUCAUGCGUACUCGAUAUAAGGUAGGACUUCCUCAGUAUUCUCCAAGACAUAUAGAUGUGUCUGGUUCAAAAAACCCGAUCACCUAAGCUUACUGUGCAACCAGAUAAUGGCUUUGAAACUCCCAUCUUCUAGCUUGAAGGCACUCCAACUGUACUAACAUCAGAUAAAUGCUCGGUGCAAAACUCUACAACUUCUUCAGCUAUAUACCGCUCAAUAAUGCAACAUCCGGGACGAGUACGGUUCUGAACAAACCUAUUUAGCACUUUCAUAUGUCUUUCAAAUGGAUACAUCCAUCUAAAAUAUACUGGCCCAUGUAGACGAACUUCUCUGACAAGAUGUACUACUAGAUGAACCAUGAUAUCAAAGAAUGAAGGGGGAAAGUACUUCUCAAGCAAACGCAACGUAACUACUACAUCUUCUUCCAAAUUAUCUAGCUUGGAAACAUCUACUGUCUUUGCACAUAUAGCAUUGAAGAAGAAGCACAAUCGAGUUAUUGCAUACCUUGCAGGCUUCUCCAAACAGAACGAAUUGCCACAGGGAGCAAUUGUUGCAUCAAGGCAUGAAAAUUAUGAGAUUUAAGGCCAAGAAGUCUUGAAUAUUUUUAAGAUACAAGAUUUUUUUAUAUUUGAACAAUAACCUUCAGGGACUUUCAUACCAUAGAAAGAAUUGCAAACCGCUCUCUUAUCUGCUCUUGACAAAUUCUAGGGCCUUGGAGGCAAGCGAGUACGUCUUUCUCAAUACUCGGGUUGCAAAUCAUUUUUGACCCCCAUGUUCAAUAAAUCUAACCGAACAGCAAUCUCAUCUUUAUUUUUUCUAGGGAUCUCCAGCAAUGUACCAAUGAUACUAUCGCAAACAUUCUUCUCAAUAUGCAUAACAUCUUGGACAUGCCUCAUAGGAAGGUAUUUCAAAUACUCGAGAUCAAAGAAUUUUGAUUUCUUAUUCCAACAAACUCUGUCACCAUCAUUCUCAAAAACACUUCCCCCAUUUUUCGAGCCCCAUAUGUAAUUAAUAUCUUCAACCAUGUCCUAUUCAAGUUAAUGGUUCGGGAGGCGUGCCAUAUUCAAGUUUUCCAUUGAAAGCUGCACGCUACCUCCGACAUGGAUGAUUGAUUGGUAACCAUUUUUUAUGACCAAUGUAACAAAUUUUGGGGCCAUUUUCAACCUGUGACUAGGUGUAUCAUCGCCGCAUAUUGGACAAGCUUUAUAUCCUUUAACGACACUGUAACACCCCGACUCUAAAUUAAUCCCUUAUUUAAUUAUUUAAAGAAAAUUACAAAUUUACCCUUAAGAUAGGGGUAUUUUGGUCAUUUUCUUACCCGAAGAGAGUUUGGGGCAGUGACUAGUAUUUUUGGAUAGGUCGUACUGAGACGAGUUCAUAGACACGUAGUGGGCUCGAAUCGAAGUUGUAACGAGAGAGAUAUGGUCAAAAGAAACCCAAUUGCACAAUCAUAAUUAUUUCGAAAUGAGAUUUUUAUAAAAAUCAGAUUUUUUUUUCUCUCUCUCUCUCUCUCCUCGUCGGUCUCUCUCCCUCUCCUCGAAACUCCGGCCAUCGGCCACGGCUGUGGACGGGGCCGGUACCAAAAUGACCGAGGCGUUGUCCUCCUCUAAUCCCAGCUAGGUCCCGCCGUCAGCCGCCAUGGUUUCGCCGGAAAAUGGAGAAGAAGCGGCCGGCGUCGUCCGAAGUUCUCCGCCGUUGAUCUCCCUCUUCCGGUCACCGAUUCCGACGAGUGAGGUAUGGUUUCUCACCUACUUUUCAUGCUCUAGCUGCCUGCUGGGUAUGAUUGGAUUGAUUUUUAGCGUAGGCAAUUCGAUUUUCGCAUUGAAAUUCGGCUAAUUUUGGAAUCACGAUUCCGGCUAGUUCUGGUCAGUUUUUGGGGUAGAUCCAAGAACAAAAGUGGCUCCAAAUAGGGUGUUAUACCUAGGGUAGGAGUUUGGAGCCAUGGUUUUGAGAUUUUCCGGCGAUACGUAAUCGCUUUAGACACCCAACGCUGCCCGCACGUGUGGCAGUGCGUGGGCGAGGGUAGUGAAAUAGCACUAUGUCUCGAUGAGAUCCUUAGGUUGUCACGAGUGCGUAGGAUUUCGCGGAUCUCAAUUCGGACGUCGUUUGACUAUCGAACGGAUUUUCGUAUAUUGCGCGUCAUCCGGGUUCGAUAGGUUGGGACCGUUGGAUGGUCUCGAAUAAAAUAUAUGUUAAUCUAGGUAUUUCUAGGAUCAUGUAGGAAUUCACGGAUUAUAAAUCGGAGCCCCGGAUAUUCCGAAUAAAUAAUUUAAAGUUUAUGUUUUAUAAUAACCGUCACAUCGUGCGAUCGUGAGCGAUCCGACCGGCCGAUCUGGACCAAACUUACAGAACGAGUGUCCUAUACCUUGAAGAACCCAUAGGAAUUUUCAGAUCGAAAUUUGGAGGUCGUGGGCCCCGUGGGCCCAUUUGACUAGGGGUAGGGUAGUUUGACCCUUAGUUGACCGUGAGUCUCCCGGAGUAAUCUCACCUUUCCAGGGGGAUUAUCGGGUGCUAGACUGUUGUUGAGGUUUACACGAUAUUAGUAGUAAAUUAUAUAUUUAUAUACAUUUGUAAAGGUAAAAAAUAAGUCCAGAAUGUCAGUUUGAAGUGCUUUACGCACUACCUUAGGUACCUCCCCGGAUUUUAGUUACACUACAAGUACCACCCUAUGAAAGUUAGGUCCCACGUGGCGUAGGUUAUCCGGCGUGCGGACAGGCCCUAUACGUGGCAUUGGUAGUAUCGGUGUAUGGGGAGAUUACGUGAUAAUAUGUUGAGGUCACACGUGGCGUAGGUUAUCCGGCGUGUUGACAGACCCCAUACGUGGCGUUGGUUGUACCGGCGUAUGAGGAGAUAUUGUGAUAUGAUAUUCAGGUCUCGCGUGGCGUAGGUUAUCCAGCGUUGAGACAGACCCCAUACGUGGCGUUGGUUCUACCGGCGUAUAAGGAGUUUAUGUGAUAUUAUGUUGAAGUCGCGCGUGGCGUAGGUUAUCCGGUGUGUCGACAGACCCCAUACGUGGUGUUGGUUGUACCGGCGUAUGGGGAGAUAUGUGAUAUGAUGUGCAGGUCUCGCGUGGCGUAGGUUAUCCGGCGUUGAGACAGACCCCAUAUGUGGCGUUAGUUGUACCGGCGUAUGGGAAGAUAUUGUGAUAUGAUAUUCAGGUCUCGGGUGGCGUAGGUUAUCCGGCGUGUUGACAGGCCCCAUACGUGGCGUUGGUAGUACCGGUAUAUGGGGAGAUUAUGUGAAAUACAGAGAAAUGAAAUAAGGUAUUGCCUAUGUGUGGAAUUGGGUUUUAAGGAAGAACUACGUGUGGCUUGAUCCCUCAGGGAGGGUACGUAGGCAGCCUAAGGUUAUUAGGUGUAGCCGCGGACAUAGACGUGAUUGUGUUAGGAGGUUAAAACCUCGUAUGUUGAAAUUGAGAAAAUUAGAUGAUGUAUGUUGAAAUUUAGUAGUCGUAAUUUAUAUUUAAAUUUAUCGUUUGCCUUGUUUAAGGCAUGAAUUGAUUUGCUAGCAUGCUUGGUAGUUGAGAAUUAUAGAAAGGCCGAAGGCCGUUUAUGUGAAUUGCAUGGAAUUAUAUUGUGCAUGCUGCCAGUUGUAGUUAUUAAAUGUGUUUUUAUGCAGGUUGAAAUUUUGGGAAAUGUCCAAUUUACAGGGGAGACUCUGCCGAAAUUUCGGCAGAAAGUCUCGGUCUUUAGUAAGUGGGCCUGACAUCGAGGUGAUGUCGGGGAAUCCACAGGAUCCGCCUCGAUUUUUGGAAAAAUCGGGGCGGUUCCUUUCAGACACAACCAGAUAAGUUCUCAUAGGCAGAAAAAUCAUUAAUUGUUCACAGUAAUACACCUAUGAGUGUAAAGUAAUCUCCUAUGUGUGCAUCAUACACUCCUUUAAUCCCAUCCCACAAAGAUUUUAAAUCAUCAAUCAGAGGCUCUAAGUAGACAUCUAUAUCAUUUCCAUUCUAUUUAGGACCAGAAAUCAAUAAGGUCAAUAUCAUGAACUUCCAUUUCAUGCAUAGCCAUGGUGGGAGAUUAUAUGUAACUAAGAUAACCAACAAUUGUAUCUGCUACUUAAAGAACUGUGGGGAUUGAAUCCAUCAGAUGAGAGAGCCAAUCUCAAGUUUCUUGGCUCUUUACUGAACUCGGGCCAUUUAUCAUCAACAAGUUUUUAAGACGGGAAAUUCGCUGGAUGAGACAUAUGACCGUCAAUUGCUUUUCUAGCAACAUGCCAAGUCAAACUCUUAGCUGUCAUAUGUGAUUGAAACAUCCUUUUAAACCUUGGAAUUGGAGGAAAAUACCACACCACCUUCGCUGGCACACUCUUUUUCAAGAUUGAAUCUUUGCAUUCCUUCCACCUUGAGAUACCACAAGUAGGACAAUUAGUUGAAUCUUCAUAAUCAUUCCUAUACAAGAUGCAGUCAUUGGGACAUGCAUGGAUAUUCUCAUAACUCAUCCCUAAAGGAGAUAAUGUCUUUUUUGCCUCGUACAUAGAGGAAUAUAGUGUCUUUCCUUCUGGAAGCAAAUCUCCUUGAAGUAUCAAUAAUUCUAUAAAACAAACAUCACUCAUCCCAUGUUUUGCUUUCAAAUUAUAUAACUUCACCAAAGCCGACAACAUCGUGUACUUACUGCAACCAGGGUACAAGGAUUGAUCUCAAUCCCCAAUCACAUUGGCAAACUCAUAAGGAUCAAAUCCAAUAUCGCCUAAAUCAUUAUCAUCCAUCCCUACUUCUUUAGAAACAAAACUGAACCUACUUUGCUCAUCUUCUUCCACAUUUCUACUAGCAUUAGUAGUCAAUUCCCAAGGUUCUCCGUGCCAUGUGCAAAUCUGAUAGCUUUAGUCAAUUCCAUUAAAGUAUAAGUGGUCCCUCAUAAUUCCAACCCCAAACAAUCGAAUAUUCCCACAUUUAACACAUGGACAACGAAUAUGAGUUGUAUUUCCAAGAUUUUCUACAGCAAAAUUCAAAAAUCCUUCCACCCCUAACUCAUAUGCCUUCGGUCUUCUAUCCGCAUGCAUCCAUGACUUAUCCAUCUCACACACUAUAAAAUCAUAUAUAUAAUAAAGUGAAAAGACCAGCAAUGAAACACUACUUUAUUCACAUAGCAAAGAAUGAAUUGAAAAAAAAAAUUAACCAAGAAUCAGACGACGGUUUUUACAAAAAAAAUCGUCCUGUAACAGAGGGUCAGACGACGGCAUAUCUAGUUAUCGACGUCUUUAAGCUACCCAAACCCAGAUAUUUGUAUUGCUUUUUGAAGAACCGGGUUCUGGGUUCUGGUAAACAAAAGAUGACGGUAAAUGGAGAAACACCGACGUAUCCUAAAACUUGAGACGACGGUUUAUUUCACCAACCGUCGUCGUAGUUUACGAAAAACAGAAGUCUAAAUCUCCCAUCCUCAUUCCUUUUCUAAGAACCCUUAACAAAAUGCAAACAUCAAAAUAUAAAAGAGCCAUAUAUAGCUCCCAAUUAAGAAACCAAAGCUACCAAAACAUAUAUUAAUAAACCAAAGCUACCAAAAUGAACGAAAACAUUUAUGGGUUUUACAAACUAAGAGAAUAUUGAGAGAGAGCUGAGAGAAUAUACUUACAUGGAUAUUGAGAGAGAGCUGAGAGAAUAUAACAAAUGCUUGAGAGAGAGCUUAGAGAAUAUACACAAUGCUUUGAGAGAGAGCGAAAAAUUUAAGACAAAUUUAUGUUGAAGAGAGAGAAGGAAAUAUUUUAGGGUUAAAGGGAAAUUCUGAAAAUUUUAGAUCACCGUCAAAAUUUUCAAAGGACCGCGUUUUUCAAAGACGGCUAAGGAAAACUACCGCCAUUGUAAAUCAUUUUACUACGACGGUUGAGGAAAACUACCGCCAUUGUAAAUCAUUUUUAUGUCGCCUCUAUAAAAACCGACGUCUAAAAUAUUAAAUAAUUAGAUUUGGUUUGCAUUUCGUGGGAUUCUAACGUGCGUAAUUGACCAAAAAGAGCGAGAGAAAACCAGCGUCGUUUCUAUAAAACCUAAACCCUAAACCCUAAACCCUAAACUCUAAAACCUAAACACUGAAAAAAUUAACCAAAAAUUGCUAUGGACUCCUUACAACAAUGCCUUCUAUAUUAGUAGGCUAAAAUCGGGAUUAAAUAAUUUUGAAUUUUAUGACCACCAAUGGAUCACAUAAACCUUAGGGUUAUGUUUAUGGAAAGUAUAAGGAUUAUUGUGUUUUGUCUCUAAAUCUUUUUUACUUUUGUUAUCACUUGUAACUUUGAAAUCUAAAAUUAAAAUUUUCAGGCCUUUAGGGGGGAGAUAUUGUCUCAAUGUGUUUAUAGAAUUUGAGACUGCGAAGGUUCUAGCUGAUUGACUAAGGAUGAGGCAGGAUGGAUGGAAGGUUUGCUUGGAGAUUCUACCUUUGUCAGCUCUUCUGGUUGACAUGUUGUUUAUUCUGCCUGAGGAACUACUUCUAGAUUUUUCCCUUUUCUAGCAGAACUAGUCUCUGGAAGUACUUGUGUGUCAUCCUUAUUCUUGAGGAAGACGCAGUAUUGCCUUUGAACUCUCCUCUUUUGCAUUCUGGUUAGCUUCAGAGUUGGUCUUCGGCUUUUUCCAAUAGAAUAUCAUCUACCUUCUAUGAUAGUUGCAAAGGGCUUGUCAUUUCCAGGCAUCUUAACUGGUAUUUCCUUCUUUGGCUGCUCUAUUAUUCUCUUGUUGCGUUGGGCAGGCCUUAAAUAGUCCUUCUGUCUGGCUCUAUCUCUAGGUGGAGCCGGAACUAGGCCUUGUUGGUAUGAUGUUCCAAUCCUGUCAAAAACACAAGGUGUGGGCUGACUUUGCCUAACCAGAGUUACCUCUAACUCACUUUCACAUUUGCACCUGUUGCACAAAACUACCCCAGCCGAAAUGGUUGCUUUUGGUCUUCAAUUAGCCUAUCUUUGGACUCUUCUGCCUAUGCUGGGGCUAACUUUUGCUGUUAGUUUGCCUUUCUUUUGUUUUGGCCAAUUUAAGUUGACCAUGUUGACUUGAGGUUGGGGAAAAGGGUCUGUUGUUAUCGAAUGAGGUUUCUCAGCCAGUUUUAGCCUCCAUGCUGUUAUUCCUUCCUGUAUGACGUCCCUGAAAACAACACAACUAUUGGUGGAAUGGUCCCAGGAGUUAUGCCAUCUGCAAUACUGUCUGCCCUUGAGUUCCUCUAGCUUGGGCAACUUGUAGGGUGUUUCUAUUGCCUUCUGUCGCAGCAUGUCAUCAAACAGGGCAUCAACCUUGGUUAAAUCGAGGGAAUAGACUUUGUUAUGAGCUGGUUUGUUUGGAACAAACCCUCUUGUGAAUGGUGGUGGCUUUUGGUCCUUUGGUGGCUUUGUUAAAGCCUUGCAACUGAUGAGAUGUUUUAAUUUCCCCAUUUCUGCCACUGCAACUUCUCUCUCCUCCGAGCUUUCUAUGCCUUCUUCUGAUUCUACCUCAACAAGAUUUACUGAAGAGGAUGGGGUUUUGUAAUAUGUGCCUUUGAAAGAGUUCCUCUUCUAUUGUUCUUCCCUGAGCAGCUCCUUGUAUUUAGAUGCUUUGUCUGCUAGUUCUGCCAGAUCUCCAAACAGCAUCCCAUCAAAUUUUUUUCUCAGAGAGAUUUUAAGGGAGAUUUGAGCCAUUUGGAUGAAGUGCCCUUCCUCCAUAGGGAUUCAAAAUUUCAUUUUGAGCUUUUUGAACCUGGUUAUGAAGUCUUGGGCAGGCUCAUCUUCCCUCUAUUUCCAGGUUUGAGGGCAGCAAGAUCACUGAUGGUGACUUCUGGCUGAAUCCUAAAAUAGUAGUCAUGGAAGACAUUUUCCAUCUAUUUCCAGGUUUGAACAGAAUUGGCUGGUAAGCUAGUAUAUUAGAUGAAGGCUUGUCCAGAGAGAGAAUUUCGAAAAAGCCUUAGUUUUAACAGAAGGUUAUUUUCUAUGGCUAUGCACUGGAAAGAGAAUCUGCCUAUAUGCUUAACUGAUGAAGCAUGGGUGUCUUCUCCGUUGAACAAGGUGAAGUGUGGUACCUUAAAGCCCAGGGAUAGAGGUAUUUGAUCGAUAUAAGCUGGAUAAGGCUUUCUGUAGGUGGGCCUUUCUCCUCUUCUGGCCUCAGGUUCCAUCAUCUCUCUGAUCAUUCUAUAAAGUGCCCCCAUGUCAUUCAAAGCAUUGACAUGAUGCGGGGUUCGCCCCUGUUCUGGCUAGUUGUGUUCAAUCCUUUGUUCUACUUUAUAUGGCCUGGGCAGAACUUCCUCCCUAUGCUCUUCCUCUUUUUCGAAAUCUGGAUGAUUCCUUUAGUUUGCCCCCGGUCUGUUUUUGUCAUUGUUGGCAAAGGGUUUAACUCCUACUCUACCUCUCAUGCCACUUGCUAGUGGAGGGAAUGGAUUGGGGUCCAUCCUUCUAGGUCUGUAGGGCAACACAACUGGUUGCUCAGGCAGAAGUGCCAAGGCCUGAUCACGUGGGGCCACUAGUUGUGGAAUAGGUGGAGGUUCUGGCUAGUUCUGAGGGGGUCUGAACUGGUGCAGAGCCUUCUGGAUGAACUGAAUCCUCAUGUUCUUGGAUGGGAAGGGCUCCUCCCCUCUGUCCAGCUUGGAUUUCUCCAUGUCCUGGUAUUCCAGCUAUCUGUGUGAUGAGAGGCUUCUCUUCAUAUGGCCAUGCCAGUCCUGGUAGAGGUCCAAAAGGGAGAUCUAGCUGCUGGACCACCAUGUCUAGGUUUGGAAUUUUGGCAAUAGUAGCCUCACGGUCCUUCCUGAACUGCCUGUUGACUUGCCAUUACAUCAUGGUUGUCAUGUUGUUUAGAGUAUCUUGGCUCAUUUGUGCUGUGGCUUCUUGCCGAAACACAGCCUCCUGUAUCUAGUUUAACCUUCUGGAACCAGACAUGGAACGUCUACUCGUGGUACUGCCAUGGGCUGAUUACCUAGCAUCACUUUCUUUUGACUCAAGUCCUUUUCGGAGAGCUGCUUGAUCUCUUUUCAUGGCAUAGCGUGGAUUCUGGCUAGAACUUCCAAUAUUCAUAUACUAGAGGAUUUUUCUAGAAAUAUAUGUAUUGAGAAGUCCCACUGGGCGUGCCAAAUUGUUCAUCCGUUUUAGAUUUGUUCCUGUGAUGGUAGGGUAAAGUUCCUCAUUGACUUGAAAACCAUUGGUGGUCAAUAAGUCAACUUUCUUUUGUGUACAAAUGUGCCACUGCUAGCAAUAAAAACCCUAGCAGACUUCUUAAAAAUAGAAAACUUGUGCCCAAGUUAUUAACUUCUAAAUAAGCGAUUGUGAAUUUGGGCGAGGAAUAUCUCCCAAGUAAGUUCUUUUCUUUGCCUCAGAUUGGUGAGGACUUCACAAUUUUUCACAGUACAAAACUGGUAGUUCUAGCUAGAAUAAAUGAUAAGAAAGUGAACUGUUUUCAGGCAGAACUACCUUUUACAAAGCUUAAAAAGGAAGACCAACUCUAAAAAGACAAAAAGAGCUUUUGGACUUCAAUUUCUGCUUGGAUAAAUGCUUCUGAUCCGGGCUGGACUGGGUAUGUUUGUGCUGGACUGGACUAUCAACACCUUCAACUGUCAAGUUUUAGCUGUCAAUGAAUACCAAUGUUCGAGUGUGGCAAAGCUUCAAUCUAUUUCAAGCCGUGCAAGGCUUUUUGAACGGACAGAAUUGGAACCUCUUCAGUCUGGAAGGGGUAGAAGUGGCUGAAUUUGGUGAUUACUGAGCUGGAACUGCACUGUAGUACCUGUUCUGCUUGAUCAGGGCUCUCCAUAAAUUUGUUGAGGUUUUAAUAUUGGUAAAACCCGAAGCUUAUGUUGAACCAACUUUGUAACGAGAGAAAUCUUGCUUUGAAUGACUAUUUCUCUGAAACUAAACAGAAGUUAGAGAUUCUGGAAUAUAGCUGACUUGUUUCUUAUGGCUCAAUGAGCUUUUGGUUGCUUCAGUGUUUUGAAGGCUUUUGAGAUCAAGUGAUCAUUUUGAGUUUUUAUUUUUGAUUGAUUUUUUGGCUGUCCUUUUAUCUGUUCACCUCAUCUCAUAUUUAUAGAAUAUACUGGAGUGUGAUUUCUAAUCUUUUAAUAAUGGGCGGCAAAUCUUUUAAAAGAUCUUUUUUUCUUUUUUCAAUGUCAUAAGAGAAGGAAGCUACUAUUCUGACAGAGAAAGGUUGUCAACAAUCAUCUUUCAAUUUUUCUAUGUUCACUUUUUGUUCUUUGUAAAGAGAAAGAACACAAUCUACCAUGAUGGUCAGUGUGCUUUUCCUGUUGAACAACUCCCUCGUUCUCUACUUAUCUCUUGAAAACGUAGUCUGCUUAUCUCUUGGAAAGACCACCUGAUUUGGUGCAGAGCUUCUCUAUAUAUAUAUAUAUAUAAAGGGAUUUUGAUCUUCUUCUUUUGGCUGAAAAAAUAGAGAAGUCUUUCUGUAAGACCUGCCUUCAUUAAUUUUCUAUCAACUUCUCUGUAAUAGUUGAAAAUUUUGACUUUUCAAAGCCAGGUAUUCACGUGGGGUUGUUUAGAAAAGAUCUGUUGAUUUUGUCAAUCUUUUAGGGUAGAGAUUAAAUAGCGUAAAAAGGCUGGGCUAGUCUCUUUUUCUUAGUAGAUAAAAAGCCCAAAUAUUUUGUCUCACUGCCCUUUUCUGGAAAAUAAAUGGGCUGGGUGUGUUGGAAAUUGGCCCAAUCUUAAGAAAGACUCUGGUGGCUGCCCAAAAUUGACAUAGGCUUUUCUUGAUUUUGGGCUGGGCAUGCCAAAUUAGGCCCAAACAAUGCCCCUUAAGUCUGAAUUGUUUUUGGAAUAGUUUCAGACUUAAUGAUUUGGCCAUUAAUUUGUGCGCGCCAUUUCCUUCUGUUAGCCCACAUCUGCCACGUCUGCCUAUUAUGAUCAAGACUUCGUGGGAAAGUGGGCAGUUACUAGCUAGUUAUUAUCAGGUGGCGUCUUGUCUUCUUCUUCCCACGAUUUCGAGUCUUUCUAAGAAAUUUAAAAAGACCUCAGCUCCUGUUUACUCAAAACCUAACUUCUUCAGACCUUGAUUUUCCUCAGUUUUCUCAGAAUUUUUACCCUUUUCUGCGAUCAAACCCUGCUUCCUUUCAGUUUGAUUCCCCUAUCCUAGCUCAAAACCCGAAAAUGUCUUCUCCAAAAAAUCGUGCCCAGACUUCUUCUUAUUCUGUUCCUCCUACCUACAUUACUGGGGCCGGUGUUGAUAAGCAUGUGAUUGAAGUCCGGAGCAAGCUUCAUCCUUUUGCCCAGAACGUUCUGGACAAGAACGUGUUACAUUUGUUCGAGAACACUCUUGUUUUGGAGCCUCAUCGGUUUGGUUCUGUCCCGACUGAAAUGGCAGAAUUGUUUAAAGAAUAUACUGAAGCUCCUCUAUGCUUUCAGAGCUCUUUCGUAGAUUUCAGUUUUAUAUAUAAACUAUCGUGUUUCUCCCUAUAACAUGUCGUUUUUAAGAAUUGUUGUCAAUGUUUUAUUUCCUGCUACUAUAAGACGGCGAUUAUUUAUACAUAUGAGACGUGUAAAUUAGAAUGAGACGUCAGUCUUUGGGAUUUAAAUUAAGUUUUUACGAUUUAAUGUCAUUUUAGUUCAUAUAAGGACAUAAAUGUCCUAACCAAAAAUAUAUUUAUGUACAUUGUCAAUAAAUUAAAAUAAACCUAAACAUUGUUAAAAUAAAUUAGAUCACUUAUUAUUCUGUAAUUACUUGUUAACGAAUUCAGCCCAUUCCAACCUGACUUCGUCAAUAUGUUCUUAUACAUACUGAACUGGUUCCUUUUUCUUAUCAAACUGCAAAUAAAUAACAAAAACCAACGUGUUAUAAAGAUUACAACGACUGCUUUUAAAGAAAAAGUUGUGGUACUAAAAUAAAGAAUUUAUAUCUUAAGUUUUGCCUUUUACCUUCUUCUCAAAUGCUAGGCCUGGAUCAUGAAUUAUAUCUCUCAUGAAAUGCAUCACGUAAUAGCCACACUCUACAUUUGUUGGUUGUCGAGGAGUGCCAUGUAGAUUUUUCCAUAUGACUGAUUUACAUGAUGAUUAAUUGCCUGUGUGAGAGUUAUACAUUUUGAUUGAACUGUUUCAAGAAAAUGAAAAGUGUUAAUGAUAAAAAUAAAAAUCUAAAGCAAAAAUAUUAAACGUCGUGGUAAAUAAGUGAAGACGAUGGUUUUGUUAAAAAAGUGAUGUUGUAUUUCAUUUCAAACGUUGGUAAAUAAAAACCGUCGUUGUGUAGAAUUCUAACGUCGGUGACGAUGAAAAAUGACGUAUAACCAAAAAUUGUUUGUAAAUGAAAGUUGAACAGAAAAAAAUAAAACUUCCUUAAAUGAAAAACACAAACGACGUGGUAUUUCAAUUAAAAUGACGGUUUACAGAAAAUACUGACGUUGUAAAUGAUUUCAAACAUCGGUUUGAAGUUACCAUCGUGUUUUCAUUGUAACGUCGGUAUUAGAAAAAGCCGUAUAUCAUUCAAAUGCAAAUAAAAAAAUGUUAGAUUUUCAUAGAUAAACUUACAUAUUCACUAUAUUUCUCAUGUCCUCGUCAACAACGCGGUUUGGCAAUGAAUCCAUGUAAUAGAUAGUCUCCUUCGCUGGUCUCACAAUUAUUAACACCCAAUGACCCCUACACAUAAUGAUCCAUAUAGGUUAAAUAUACUAGAAAGAAAAAUAGGCAUCAAGUAUAGUUAAGGGGACUAACCUUGGAUUACAAGGCACCAUGUAAAAUUGAUCCCCAUUUGCGUUUUUCAGGCGGUCUGAGAGAUGUUUCAAACGGUAAGAUAACGUUCCAGAUUGAGAGCUGACUUGUCCAAGGUCCACGAAGCCAAUAAGGUUUACCAUAUUUUCUAUUUUUAAAUAGUCAAAUAGGCACCUAAAUAUAUGAAAUUCAAUUAAAUGAGAUUUUAACUUUAAAGAAAGGAAAUGUAUAAUGCAAUCACUGUGGAUCCAAUCUCAACCAUGGAAGGAAAUUGUAAAAUAUCUUCACACAAGAGGAAGGUAUCAUGGUUAAUGCCAAAGGCUUCCUCUGGAAUGUGAAUUCUAAUGGUCUCGUUAAUGGGCUUCAACUUGGUCUCGACAAAUUGAAAUAAGGCUAACAGAGGAGGUGGCAUGUCUAGCUUUGAGAGAUCCUGUUACAACAAAUAAAUAAAGAAAUAUAAGUUAGUUUGUACACUAAGUAAAAUAAACGACUCUAACUAAACCAAUCAAACCGACGUGGUAUAUAAUAUAAUCGACAGUUUCUAGAACAUACUGAAGGAGUAAAGGUUAUAGACGACGGUAAAGACAUAACCAUCGUUAUGUAAAUGUUCUAACGUCGCUGCAUUAUGGAAAGGUCGUCUAAUUAAAAUGCAGUGAAGCCUUUAUUGAAAUACACGACAGUUUAUAAAAUAAACACCGACGUAGUAAAAUACUGAGACGACGGUUAUCAGCAACGUCUAUUUGAAAUUAUAAAUCAGAAAAAAUCAAAUAUCAAAGAUUUUACCGUUUCAUCUUGCCAUUGUUUAGCAACAUCAGCAUCAUUCGUGGGAUUUUCUUCCUCCAAAACAAGGGGUCUCACAUUAGAGCAGCUUGCUUUGUCAGACAUUAGAUUUUUUGGAGUAAUUGGAGUUUUAUUGAGCAAGUUGGGAUCACAGUUGGGAAUUAGUUGACUGAAUUGUUUCAAUAAAAUUUCCCUCUCUGCUCUGACUGCCUCCAAAACAGUUUCUUUUGCCUUAGCUUUAAUCUUUUUGGUUUCUUCUCUCACUGCCUCCAUAACACUUUCCUUCAAUUUGUUAGCAAAUUUUACUCUCUGCUGUCUCGACAAAUUGAAGAAUUGAGUUGGGGAAACCCCAGCUCCAACACCUCUAACUCUCCCACCAUGCUCAGGGGUUCCCAAAGCCAAGGUCAAAAUAUCGUUGCUCUCAGAGACAGCAGAGUGCCCUCGGAAACUUGUUUUUUCAAAUCAUCCUAAAAGUGAGAGAGAGAGAGAGAGAAUGUUAGUGAGUGAACAGAUAGUAAAACAGAUUAAAUAAACAACUAUACAAAAAUAUUAACCGACGUGGUAAAGACUUUAAAAAACUGAAAUCAAUCCCCAAUAGUAACAGGGACCAUGCAGCAACGAUUUGGUUGACAGUAGUAUAGGUUGGAGAUGCUGUUGAUCAUUAGAUACUAUUUUUUUAAAUAUCAAUUCUGUAACAUCCAGACCUAAAAAAUUAAUGAUUUUGAUUUAAAAUUAAAUUUAAAUAAGCAAUUACGAAUUUACCCUUGGGGAAGGGGUAUUUUGGUAUUUUUUUUUUAUUCAGAAAGAGUUUGGGGCAGUGACUAGUAUUUUUGGGUAGAUCGUACUGAGACGAAUCCGUAGACACGCGGUAGGCCUGAAUCGGAGUUGUAACGAAGAAACGGUGACCAAAAUUAGUCCAGUGGCAAACUUGUAAAUAUUUUGAACUUGGGUGUAGAAAAAUCUGAAACUGGCUUCCUCUCUCCUGCGUGCACACGUCCUUCUCUCUCUCUCCUCUCUCUCUCCUCGAUACCAUCACUCUCUGUCUCUCUCUUCGAUUCUCUCAAUUCUGGCCACGGCAAGGGCCGGGACUGGUUCCGAUCAACUCCUCACAAAGCCCCGAACCAGAACCACCACUUUUCUUGGCCGGAAAGCUCGAGUUUCGCGUGGUAAUCUCGACUGGUUUGAACCAGUUUUCCUCCGUCAUUGUGCCGCCGCCAUCGCAGCCCAAUCUCGGUUAAACAAGUGAGGUUUCUUACUCUUUUUCCGAGCUCUAGCUGCCUGUUGGGUAGGAUUGGAUUGAUUUUUUGUCUAGGAUCCCGAUUUUGAAACCUAAGUUUUGACGAAUUUCAAAGUGAAAUUCCGGCCGGUUGCCGUCCUAAUUAGACCUCCCCGUAGUUGAAUAAAGUGAUCCUCGCUUCGAGUAGUAGCUAAGGUAGGAAUGGUGAAUUGCGGUGUGGAGUUUUUCCAUCACUGAAAAUUACUCUACACAUCCACGCGUUGCCAGGGCAUGUGGAGGCGCAUGGGCAAUGUGGUGAGACCACAUUUUAUCCUGAUGUAGUCUCCUAGUCCUCACGUGCGCGUAAGUGUGCUCGAAUUUCAAUUCGAAUGUUGUUUGACUAUCGAACGGAUUUAUGCAUAUUGUUUCUUAUCCGGGUUCAAUAUGUUCGGACCAUUGGAUCGAGUCCAAAUUUACGUAUGUUAAUCUAGGCACCCCUAGGAUCAUGUGCGAAUUCGCGGAUCGUGAAUCGGAGCCCCGAAUGUUCCGAUUCAAUAAUUUGAAGUUUAUGGUUUGCGAUAACCGUCAAUUUCUGACCAAACCUACAGGACGUGUUUCCUAAACCCGUAGUCGGACCUUAGAAUACUCGUUAUGCGUGCACGCACCGGGAACUUGAGAAAAUUAGUAUUUAAUUUGUAAAUUCCGUUUUGAAGUGAUUUUUUAUUAAUUAAGGGUGCGUAUCUCGAAAUAGGUGCUCCAUCACUAGCACGCAGCAGGUAGGACCCUCUUGAGGUCAGGCAGUGUGGGACUACUUGUGAGUGGACAUUUAUUUUAUAUAUGCAUUAUUUUCAAUGAUUGAAAGAAUAUGCAUGAAAUAUAUAUAUUUUUUGGAAUAAAGAUUGAGAAAUUCAUAUGUUGUUAUAUCAGUAUUAUUUAAUUUAGAAUUUGGUUUGAUUUGAUGAUGAGUUAUAUAAAGGUCAAGUUAUUCGUGAUUAAGUCUUGGAUGAAUUUUGGGGGAAUCGGGAAUUGAAUAUUAUGGUUUAUGGUGGGAACUUAUAUGAUUACACUGUGUGGAGUACCAUCCCCUAGUUACUAGGCUUCCCACAUGUGGCGUUGGAAAUUUUCCAGCGUGUGAUGAUGUAGUCUGCACGCAUAGGACUUAGUAUUGGAGCUACACGUGGCGUUGGAAUUUCCGGCAUGUAAGCUAUGGAGUUUCGUCCCCCGGUUGGACCGCUCAUCCCUAGACGCAGGAUAGCAACUGAAAAUCUUGCGGGUUAGCCAAACAAUCCCCCGGUUGGAUUGUUUCCCCGGUACCUAAGUAGUGUGAUAAAUAUUAUGUAUAUUUAUAGAUAUAUAUAUUUCUAUGUGUGUGUGUGUGUGUGUGUGUGUGUGUGUGUGAGUAUAAAUCAGUUAAAGUAUAUGUAGUGGUUGGGUAAGAGCAGUAUAAAUUUUGGGGAUAAAGUUUAUGGAUAGAGUGAUUGAUCUCAAAGGGUUUCGGAGAAUGAUGUUUUUGAUCAUUAAAUAAAAGUUAUGAAUCUGCAUGUCUUGAGCAUUAUUUUUAGACGGUGGGGUUAUUAUGUUGUUUUGAAUGCAAAUUUUGUUUUUCCACUCACAUGUUUUCUGUUUUGCGCCCCCCAAACAGUAGUCGCUCAAGGGAGAGUUGCAAGCCAUGUUCGAGGCCCCGAACUGUGAACAUCAGUAGAUUAGGUUUCGAGUAAUUUCUUUCUACUCAACUGGAUGUUCUUGUAAACUAAAUUCGUUAGAUGCUCUAUUAUUGCCCCUGUUAGGUUUUACUUGUGAGGCCAGAGGCCAUUUAGUUUAUACUGUUGAAUAAUAAAUGCAUGCUGCUGGUUGGGAUUAUAUUGUGCUUAUGCAGGUUGAAAUUUUUGGGAUUGUUCAAUUUACAUGGGAGACUCUAGCAAAAUUUUAGUAGAGAGUCUCGGUUUUUAAUAAGUGGGCCAGGCAUCGGGGUAAUGUCGGAAAUAAGACUGGAUUCGUCCCGGUUUCCGAAGAAUUCGAGGCGGGUCCUGUCAAGUUCCUCCUAUUAACAAUAAUAAAUUAAAUAUUUAUAUAACUGAUAACAGUUCCUCAUAUUAACAAUAAUAAAUUAGUAUUUUGUAUAAUAAACAUGUUUAAUGAAAUUCAUCUUCUUCUAGCAUGUUUAUUUAAAUUCUAAGUUUUCUGAAGAAAAAAAAAAAAAAAAAGGAGAAGGAAAUGUCCUAAAUUAAAUCUUAAAAGUUCAUUUUUUUCUGUCCCUAUAUAUUUUUUACCCAAUUAUAAUUUGAGAAAAAAAGGUGAAUUAACUGUCAUUUCACCUUCAUCAUUUUCAUGAUUUAUAUAAGAUUCUUCAAAGAUCAUUUCCACAAAAAAUUACUUAAAUUCGAAUCCAUUUAACCGUCUAAUUAAAUCGUUAGGACCGUUGAAAUAAAAUUUAAAGUGAGUUUAAAGUGAGUCCUACUAUGUCUCCCUCAAAUAAGAUCAUUUACAGGAUCUGUCGAGUCAUAUGAGAAUGUUUAGCUUUUCGAUCCCAAGAGUUUGGUUCGAUUUUCAUAUAUAUAUAUAUAUAUAUAUAUAUAUAUACAAGUCAAUUUACUUUAAAAAGUUCACCAAAUUUUAUUUUUGGUCUCGGUAGUUUGCUUGAGGGCCUUUUUCUGUCAAUCUAUUUGUUGUGAUUGAAAGAUUUUAUAUAAAACAAAAGAUAUGUUUUUAUCUUAAAAAAUGCUUAUUUUCAGAUCUUUACAUAUAGACAUACAUAUGGCCUGAGAAUUCAAGCAAUAAAGACAUAAGCUGAUGAGCAUUCAUAAUCAUUAGAAUGAGUACUGAAUGGUCAACUCUUUCAAAAUACUUCGGAAAAAAACAAAGGACAAUACUUCCUUCCUUACUCAUAAGAAGGAACUCCUUCUCACCUUCUAUUGUCCCUCAACCACAAAGUAACAAGUGUUCUCUUUUUUUAAUUGUCAAUUUUUUUUUUUUCACUUUUACUGAACCCCUAGCUUUUUACCAAAGCAAAAAACACAAAACAAUAUUCCCAUUGUUUUUUUUUUUCAUUUUGAUUUUUUUCUCAACUUUUUGAAAAAUAACAUUUUUCCUUCUUCAGUAAAAAAUUGAAGUCUUUGUGGUUAAAAGCUAAGGUUUCAGUAAAGGUUUAAAAUAAAUAAAAAGUUUUGACAAUUCAAAAAACAGAACACAUAUCACUUUGUGGUUGAGCCGCAAUAGAAAGUAAGAAAGAAUUCCACCUUACCCAUAAGGAGGGAAGUAUUGUCAAAAAGAAAACAUCUUAAAAAACACACAGAAAACCCACCAUCACUACUUAAAAGAAGUAGAGAAGUCCAACAUUCUGAUUUUUAUACACCUACGUGACGUGAGCAUUCAAUAAUCAUCCUACACAUAUGUUGAUGUGAGCAUUCAAAAUCAUUAGAAUGAUUUAAUUGAAGACUCAACGUACGGACGUCUUUUUCACUUAGAUUCCCUUCCUGUACAAACUUGAAUCAGUUCCUCCACGACCCCAUCAAUCUCUUCAUCCUCUUUCUUGUUCACGUUGUCGCUUAUUUUCAAUGCCUUUUUUCUCACUCCCUCUCCAAAUUUCUCCACAACCACAUCUCUAAUCACCUUUGCGACCUCUUCUCUUUGCAAACUUCCUUCACCUGUUCUCUUAACCUCCACACCAACACCCACCUCCUCCACUAGUCUAGCGUUGAUCGGCUGGUCAAGAUGCAUAGGCAUGGCUAUAAUUGGAACACCAAACUUGAUGCUCUCCAACACUGAGUUCCAUCCGCAGUGACUCACAAACCCCCCAACACUAGAAUGCUGCAGUAUCUUUGCCUGUGGGGCCCAACCCUCCAUUAUCACUCCCUUCUCUCCCACCCUCUGUAAAAACCCUUCUGGUAACACCUCUUCAACCCUAGUACUUCUCUCCUCCUUAGAAAAUCUUAUAACCCAAAUGAAGCUCACUUUGCUAAGCUCUAAUCCGUGAGCUAUCUCUUCUAUUUGCUCCUUGGACAGAAAGUACUCACUGCCAAAGCAAACAUACACAACAGAAGACCUUUCCAUUUUGUUCAGCCAUUUCAUGAUCCAUGUUUCCUCAUCAACUUUUUGAUCCAUUGGCUCUUGAACAAGCGUGCCAACAGGCACGAUCUUCUUCCCCGUUAAAUCAGAGAGAUAAUCAAUAUAUUUUUCUUCAAUCUCGCUGGAUGUCUUGACCAAAAUGAUGUUACAAGAUCGAGCACUGCAUUGCUGAACACGGUCUCCGUCUUUGAUGCCAUUUGCUGAAGAUUCCAACAAAUUGUUGAACUUUUCAGCUUCGUAAUGUUGAAGAUAAAUCGAAGGAAAAGGAAACUUGACACUAGGGUUCUUGAGAUGUUGAAUACUAAAUGAAGUAAAGGCAGCACCCAUGGUGGUGAAUUCAAUGGAUGGAAAAUUUUGCAAUGAAGCUAGAGAGGGCGCCCAUGGUUGAAGAACAUCAUAUAUGAGCAAAUCUGGACUUAGGGUUUUGAGGAUGUUGGAGAAGUUGUUGCUGGACAUGCUGAAAGCCGUUUUGAGAGUGGACAUGAGAUGGGGAGGGAGGCCAUUGGUGGUGUGGUAGUGCGGUGGGAGUUCAGGCAAGUCAUCAUGUGGAAGAUGGAGUUCCACAAAUUCAAUGCAAUGAGAAUAUUUUUGGGAGAGUUUAGGCUUGAUGGAGCUGAGAUUUACAGGCGUGGAACAAAUAAAGAUGUGAAAAUUUCUCUUGGUGGUCAGCUUCUUGGCUAGCUCUAGGUAGGGAGAUAUAUGGCCGUGAGCUAGCCAUGGAAGCAAAAGAAUAGUAAGGCUUCUUUGGUCAGAGAAAACCAUAUUUUGUUUUCCUUUGACUUGUUUUCCUUUGACUCUUUUGCUUGAGGUUGCUCGAUUAUAGGCUUAUUGGUAGUUUGUUUGUGGCUAGCUCUAUGCAUAUAUAUAUAUAUAUAUAUAUAUAUAUAUAUAUAUAUAUACACACACAAAAACGCGUGAUGAUUGGAACAUGCACACGUAAGUUCCAGAGAGUGAUGAUUGGCCUAUGAUAAAGACUCGAAACAAGAAUAGUUUAAAUUUUCUUCUUUGUUUGGCUUGAUAUAAGACGAAUGCACCAAACAAACCGACUAAAUGCCGACACAAUAAUUAGGUACGUAAUAAUAUCAACUUUCAUUAUAUAGAUCUGAGAAACAAAAAGUUGAACUUUGAUGACAAGCGAUAUUAAGGAAGGGCACAAUCGAACUUAGGAUCUCGAAUGUUGAAGUACAUGCUCUUAACAACUUGAGCUAUAAGGUAUUUGUAAUGACAAUUUAUGGUUUUAAUUAUACUUUUGAAUAGUUGCUUCCUUCUCUUUCAUUUUUAUUUUUAUUUGUUUAUAUUUAACUCUAAUUUUAUUUAUAUUUCUGGUCAAGGUAUAAAGACUUUGAAUCUCUCUCCAAUUAUUUUUCACAGCCGAAACUCCUUUAGUUUCCACAAAUCUUUUUAAACAUUUCAGGCAUAUGUAUGUUUCCGAGUCGGAUGGUUCACGUAACCAAGAAAUUUAAACUUGUUUUUGUUUGUUCCUCCGAAGAAAGCACAACAAAAGGACAACCUACAACCAAUACUUCUCAUUGAAUUUGUUGCCGUGAAUGAUUAGGACUCUGCCCAAACUAGUAGUUGCGUUUCUGAAUUGUUUGAAAACACAUAUCAAAUUAUGAUUUCUCCUCCCCGAAAGAAAAAUUGACGUAGAAGUAUCAUGAUCUUGAUGACACAAAUUAGAAUCUAGGGUUUUCGAAGUGCCUAAUGGACAACUACUUAUUUAGAAAUAUAUAUAUUUUUGUGGCUAAAAUUUAAAUUUAUUAUAUAUAUUCUCAAUGCAGAAACACAUAAAUCUAAGUUCGAAUUCAUCCUUUUUUUGUUUUUUUUUUUUUGUUUUUUUAACCCAGAAGAAAAAUUGAGUCCCACUCUGCUGUGUAGAAUGCGCGUUUAGUAUAGAUUUUUUUAUUUUUGAGUCUCUUAUCUGGUUCCCGAGCUUCUACAUUUAGGUCUCGUGUAUUUAUCUGCAUUUUCUUAAAUCUAAAUCACUCAAACAAUCUAACCACUUAACAAAUGACACGUACUCAAACUUAAAAUCAGAAUGGAUGGAGUAGAGGCUUACACCGAUGAUUCUUGGUCAAGACUUGAGAGACAGAUGGAGACGAGGCAUGACAUAAAGUCUGAAGAAGAGAAACGAGGAAGCUUCAUUUAGAUGGUGGUGUAAGUGCAUACGUAAAGUCCAGAUUCAACAGGAAAGCAUCUUAAACGUAAAGAAAAUAAGUUUACCAGAAGCAAAAGAGAUACUGAAGUAAUUGUUUAUCAACUGAACUUAAACGAAAUAUUAACUCUUUGUUGUGCCAUAAGCACAAGAUCUUAUGAAAAAAAAUUCAAGAUAAACCAUAUAAUAUUGGGAGAUUCACGUUUAUACCGAAUAUAGGAAUUCAAAUUAUAAAAUAAAUAAAUAAAUAAAAUAAUCGAUAUGAAAUGGACUUUAGAAACACACACAAAGCCUAUUUACAACAUAACAAAAAGGUUUUUCCCUUCUUUUAAAUUACAAAACUGCCAUUGAUUUCUUAAAACAAACCCAACUCCAAAACCUCAUUAAAAAAGCACAAAACACUCAAUAGGGUGUCAAAGUAAUUUAAUAAUAAAAAAUAAAUUCAAUAAGGCCAAUUGAAUUUUUUGGAUUUUUUUUUGGGUUUGUUUAUAGAAAUUAAUGGUGUAGGGUUUAUCUAUAUUAUUGGUGUUAAGAAUGAAUAAUGACUAAAUAUCUCUAUAAUAUUUUCUAACUCACAAAAUAAUAUAGAAAAUAAAUGCAAGAACAAGAAAAUAGCAAUAUGCAAUUUAACGAAGCUGCUUACAAUCAGUGCAAAUGAGCAAACAAAUUCGCUAUUAAUUUAUGAAGUGUUUUUGUAUUUACAAUACCGCCUCUUGAAUGUCCACCAUACAAUAAUAUAGUUGCAUCAUUAAAAACUUUACUUGAAAAAUCGUUUGGGACAAAACUUAAGCUAAGAGAAAAAGAGUGCAACACAAAUGAUAUUGACAUCACAUAUGUCUCUCCUACAGAGUGAGCUUUGGUGAUGCUUGUAUAAAAAUUGCUUUCACAUCAUUAUUGGGAGAUGUAUGUAUGUCAUCAAUCAUUUGAAUCUUGUUGAGGUUAAAGUAAAACCAAAAAAAUAUCAAGGGCCAUUUUCAUAUAGUUUUUCACAAUAAAAAUUAACAAAAUAACUUCAUGUUCUUUAAUAUCAUCAAAAAAAUAAUAUAAACAAACUCAUAGUUUACCUUUUCAAUGAUAAGUGUUUGGAAAAUUUACAUGGAAUAAUAUUUGGUAUGCUAUGCUAGCAUCUCAUAAGCUCUUCAAGAGACCUAAAUUUUAUGAUAACUUCUUAAAAAAAUUUGAAUACUUUUCAACAAUAUUAAACUUGAAUUCAAACUCAUAAUUCAAUCAAAGUACUCAUUGAGGCAAUUUAGAUCAUUUUCAUUUUAAGAAAAUUGGGUGCAUACAUUGAGCUUCAUGCCCUUUACCUUCUUAGAGAUUUUCUUCGAGCAAUUUAUAUUGCAUGACAGAUUAUAUCUCUUAGAAUUUGUUCUUAUGUAUUCUUCAAGAGAUCUCUUCUUGCAAUAUGCUUCAAACACUUCAUAAUCUUUAUAGAUUUUUCAUGUAGAUUUAAGGUCUCCAUGAAUAUUGAGAUUGAAACAAGGAGUAAAAUAAAAGUUUAAGAAAAAUUUUCCCUGAUUAUUUUGUAAUUAUAAUGUUGGUGAAAACCUAAUUUCCUUUCUGAAAUUUGUGAAAUUUGUUAUUUGGCUAAGCUAAAAGUAUAAUAUUGACAAUAAAACGUAUACGAAAGUUUCUCUUUGGCUGGCUUCUUGGCUGGCUCUAGGAAGGGACAUUGCGGCCAUGAGAUAACCAUAGGAAGCAUAAUAAGAAUGCUUGGAUGCUCUGAACAAUCCAUUUUCUGACUCUUUUUCUUGAGGCGGUUGUUUUCUUAGGCCCAUCAGAGUUUAUGGUCGACAGAUAAGCUUCAAACACAUGCAUUGGUCGUGUCAGUUGCGAUAAACUCUUCCCAACAAUCUGAGACUCACAUCACUCCAAACACAUAAAAAGAAGUGGAAAUUUGCUAUUCUUUGUCUUUGUUUGGACAGCUAAUAGCAAAGCAUUGGAAACAUCGAAAAAAGAAAGUUAAUUAAUUUAAGAAAAACAAAGAAAUCCUUCUUUUUUUUUCUUUUUUUUUUCAGCAAACCGAAACAUAAAAUCCGAAAAAGAAGAAGGCAUGUCCAAAAUUACAUCUUGAAUUUAUUUUGGAGAUUCACUAUUAUACUCAAAUUAUAUAUGAAAUAAAUUUUAGAAACACACAUGACGCCAAUUUACAAUAUAACAAAAAAACUUUUAACUUCUUGUAAAUUACAAAAUUGUUAUCGAUUUCUUAAAACAAGCCUAAUCCUAAAACCUCAUAAAAAAAAAAUCAAAACACUCAAUAAGGCAUCAAAGUAAUUUAAUAAUUAAAAUUAAAUUUAAUAGGGUCAUCUGUCAUUUUUUGGAUUUUUUUCGAAGUUGUUUAUAAAAAUUAAAAUAAUGUAUAGUUUGUUUAUAAAAAUUAAAUGAUGUAGAGUUUCUUUAUAUAAUUAAUGUUAAUAAUGAGUAUAUGAAUAAAUGUCACUUUUCUUUAUUAACCAUUUAUAAUAUAUGAACUCAAGACUUCCUAUCGAACACCGAAUGGUCUUUCCAUUCCUUGUUAAUUCAAAGUCUGAAAAUGUUCGGUGUCAGCUCAUGAAUUUAAAGGCUUAAAGGCUCAAAACUUGAACGAAUAUGAAAGAAAAAAGUCGUUCACCGUUCAUCCUCUUCCUGCAGCUGUGCAUGCUAAUCACCCACUGAAUUAAACAUACAAAUACGCUUUAUGUUUUCUCAAAUUGUUCUUUGAACUAAGUAGAGGUUGGAAUACACUCGGGGUCAACAUUGUUCAAAUACAAAACACUUCUUAAUUUUAUAUUUUAUCAAAACAGAUCGAAACUUCAUUCAAACUGAGAACCUAGAUUACAAAACUACCAGAAAAACUGGAAUCUGCACUGUGGCCUCAUUAAAACCUUGCUUUAAAAAACUCCUAAAAGAGGAGAAUUCAGUCAAGAAAAAAGAGUACCACAGCAAGUGAAAUCCGAUAUCAUACUUCAUUCCUUUCUCAUACAAAGUUGAAUCAACUGCUCUACCACCCCAUCUAUCUCUUCAUCCUCUCUCUUUUUCAUGUUGUCUCUCAAUUCCAUUGCCUUUCUUUUCAAACCCUGUCCAUUUUCUUCCACCACCACAUCUCUGAUUACUUUUGCUAUCUCGUCCCUUUUCAGCCUCCCGUUCUCGUUGCCGCCUCCUCCCAUUCUCUUAACCUCCACACCAACUCCAACGUCCUCUACUAUUCUAGCGUUAAUAGGCUGGUCAAGAUGCAUAGGCAUGGCUACAAUUGGAACGCCAAACUUGAUGCUCUCCAACACUGAGCUCCAUCCACAGUGGCUCACAAACCCACCAGCACUAGAAUGCUUCAAUACUUUUGCCUGUGGAGCCCAACCAUCCACUAUUAUUCCCUUCUCCCCCACCCUCUCAAAAAACCCUUCUGGUAAUACCUCUUCAACCCUAGUACCUUUCUCUUCCUUAGGAAAUCUUAUAACCCAAAUAAAACUCACUUUGCUAAUCUCUAGCCCAUGAGCUAUCUCUUCUAUUUCCUCCUUGGAUAAAAAGUACUCACUGCCGAAGGAAACAUACACCACCGAAGAUCUUUCUCUAGUGUUUAGCCACUUCAUGAUUUUUGUUUCCUCCGAAUCCACUUCUUGCUCUAUAAGGUCUUGAACAAGUGAACCAACAGGCACAAUCUUCUUCCCAAUUAGAUCAGAGAGAUAAUCAAUAUAUUUUGCUUCAAUCUCUCUAGAACUCUUAACUAAUACGAUCUUACAAGAACGAUCGCUGCACUGCUUAGCACGGUCUCCAUCACUGAUGCCAUUUGAUGAAGAUUCUAACAACAUCUUGAUCUUACUAGUCUCGUAAUAGAUUGAAGGAAACGGAAAUUUGACACCAGGUUUCUCGCCAUGGUGGGUACAAACUGACAUCAUGGCAGCACUGGUUGUGAAGAACUCGAUGGCUGGAAUGUUUUGUAACAAAGCUAGAGAGGGUGCCCAUGGUUGAAGAAAAUCAUAAAUUAGCAAAUCCGGGUGUAGGGUUUUGAGGAUGUUGGAGAAGUUAGGGCUUGCCCUGUCGAAGGCGGUUUUGAGAGUGGACAUGAGGUGGGGUGGGAGGCCAUUGGUAGUGUGGUAAUGAG